CGAGGAAUGGGGCGUCAGCCACUAUCGGCUUCGGCCUGCCGGAUAGCGCCUAGCCCCCGCUGUAACCGAGCCACGAACUGCCGAGACGCGUGAGCAGGCAAGACACCGCNCCGCUGCGCCGGUUGCGAUUGCUCCGUACACGACAUCCACAAUAACGAUCUGGAGCGACCAGUUACGCAGGGUGGCAUAAUUCGUCAGAUCGUAGGUCGCAUAAGCGA
rnacentral:misc_RNA from 1 species